rnacentral:rRNA from 1 species
UACGUAGGUGGCAAGCGUUGUCCGGAUUUACUGGGCGUAAAGAGCGCGCAGGCGGUCGUUCAAGUCGCGUGUGAAAGCCCCCGGCUCAACUGGGGAGGGUCACGCGAUACUGAUCGACUCGAAGGCAGGAGAGGGUAGUGGAAUUCCUGGUGUAGCGGUGAAAUGCGCAGAUAUCAGGAGGAACACCGGUGGCGAAGGCGGAUCUCUGGGCCUGUCCGUGACGCUGGAGGCGCGAAAGCUAGGGGAGCAAACAGG